UAACCUGCCCCCCACUCUGGGAUAAGCCUGGGAAACUGGGUCUAAUACUGGAUAUGACAACGGAUCGCAUGGUUUGUUGUGGAAAGAAUUUUGGUGGGGGAUGGACUCGCGGACUAUCAGCUUGUUGGUGGGGUAGUGGCCUACCAAGGCUUUGACGGUUAGCCGGCCUGAGAGGGCGACCGGCCACACUGGGACUGAGACACGGCCCAAACUCCUACGGGAGGCAGCAGUGGGAAUAUUGCACAAUGGGCGAAAGCCUGAUGCAGCGACUCCGCGUGCGGGAUGACAGCCUUCGGGUUGUAAACCGCUUUCAGCAGGGACGAAGCGAAAGUGACGGUACCUGCAGAAGAAGCACCGGCUAACUACGCGCCACCAGCCGCGGUAAUACGUAGGGUGCGAGCGUUGUCCGGAAUUAUUGGGCGUAAAGAGCUUGUACGCGGUUUGUCGCGUCUGCUGUGAAAGCCCGGGGCUUACUCCGGGUCUGCAGUGGGUACGGGCAGACUAGAGUGUGGUAGGGGAGACUGGAAUUCCUGGUGUAGCGGUGAAAUGCGCAGAUAUCACGAGGAACACCGAUGGCGAAGGCAUGUCUCUGGGCCAUUACUGACGCUGAGAACCGAAAGCAUGGGGAGCGAAUGGGAUUAGAUACCCCCAGUAGUC
rnacentral:rRNA from 1 species